CCCCUCUCAGGGUUGCACCUGGUGAGUUUCCAGUGCUCUACCAGUCUCGAUUAUGGGAGGGAGUCAAGCAGUGGCAUAUCCAUUCCAUUCCUAGCUUGGGCAGGGGCUAGUGACUGGAAGGCAAUCUGCUACAAGU